rnacentral:rRNA from 1 species
UACGAAGGGGGCUAGCGUUGCUCGGAAUCACUGGGCGUAAAGCGCGUGUAGGCGGCAGUGCAAGUCGGGUGUGAAAGCCCUCAGCUCAACUGAGGAAGUGCGCCCGAAACUGCAUUGCUUGAGUACCGGAGAGGAUGGUGGAAUUCCCGAAGUAGAGGUGAAAUUCGUAGAUAUCGGGAGGAACACCGGUGGCGAAGGCGACCAUCUGGACGGAUACUGACGCUGAGACGCGAAAGCGUGGGUAGCAAACAGG